rnacentral:rRNA from 1 species
AUUGAACGCUGGCGGCAUGCUUUACACAUGCAAGUCGAACAGUAACAGGCCUUCGGGUGCUGACGAGUGGCGAACGGGUGAGUAAUGCAUCGGAACGUACCCAGAGGUGGGGGAUAACGCAGCGAAAGCUGUGCUAAUACCGCAUGUGAUCUGAGGAUGAAAGCGGGGGACCGAGCAGCAAUGUUUGGCCUCGCGCCUUUGGAGCGGCCGAUGUCGGAUUAGCUAGUUGGUGGGGUAAAGGCCUACCAAGGCGACGAUCCGUAGCUGGUCUGAGAGGACGACCAGCCACACUGGGACUGAGACACGGCCCAGACUCCUACGGGAGGCAGCAGUGGGGAAUUUUGGACAAUGGGCGCAAGCCUGAUCCAGCAAUGCCGCGUGCGGGAAGAAGGCCUUCGGGUUGUAAACCGCUUUUGGCAGGAACGAAGCGGUGUCCGCUAAUACCGGGCGCUAAUGACGGUACCUGCAGAAUAAGCACCGGCUAACUACGUG